AACGAACGCUGGCGGCGUGCCUAACACAUGCAAGUCGUGCGAGAAAGUUCCUUCGGGAGCGAGUAAAGCGGCGCACGGGUGAGUAACACGUAGGUAACCUGCCCCCCAGUCUGGAACAACUAGAGGAAACUCUAGCUAAUGCCGGAUGAGACCACGAUCCCUUCGGGGGUUGCGGCCAAAGAUGGCCUCUACUUGUAAGCUAUCGCUGAGGGAUGGGCCUGCGGGCCAUUAGCUUGUUGGUGAGGUAACGGCUCACCAAGGCUGUGAUGGCUAGCUGGUCUGAGAGGAUGACCAGCCACACUGGGACUGAGACACGGCCCAGACUCCUACGGGAGGCAGCAGUGGGGAAUAUUGCGCAAUGGGCGAAAGCCUGACGCAGCGGCGCCGCGUGGGUGA
rnacentral:rRNA from 1 species